UCGGAGUUGCUAGUAAUCCCGAAUCAGCAUGUCGGGGUGAAUGCGUUCCCGGGUCUUGUACACACCGCCCGUCACGCCAUGGGAGUCGGAAGUGCCCAAAGUCGGUGACCUAACCGCAAGGAAGGAGCCGCCUAAGGUAAUGCCGAUGACUGGGGUGAAGUCGUAACAAGGUAUC
rnacentral:rRNA from 1 species